rnacentral:rRNA from 1 species
UACAGAGGGUGCAAGCGUUGUUCGGAAUUAUUGGGCGUAAAGCGCGUGUAGGCGGCUUUGCAAGUCGGGUGUGUAAUCCCUCAGCUUAACUGAGGAAGUGCGCCCGAAACUGCAGAGCUUGAGUACCGGAGAGGGUGGCGGAAUACCCCAAGUAGAGGUGAAAUUCGUAGAUAUGGGGUGGAACACCGGUGGCGAAGGCGGCCACCUGGACGGAUACUGACGCUGAGACGCGAAAGCGUGGGGAGCAAACAGG